GGUAUUACUCUUAUUUCUGAAUUAAAUUCUGGUUUAUAUAUGUUUAAUUAUUUAUGGAAUUGUACUAGUCUUUGAAUUAUAAAUCUUGUGUUGAUUAGCAAAAUCAAUUUCUACAGAUAAAAAAUUAUCCUUUACUCCUUGAUUAGUACAUUGAGAUAAGUUUUACAACUUUGAAAUAAAAAUUUAGAUCUUUUGUUAAGUUAGUUUACAGAAUCAGAUUUUAGGAGGAAGUCAUGUCUCUGUGAAUUGAGUUAUCAUGAAGAUUGAUGAAUUGAAUUAGAUUAUGGCAUGGGUGGUAUAUAUAAGUUAUAAUAGUCCAAAGAAGAGCUUUAAAAGUAUGAGUGAUUGAAAUUGUUGAUCUAAUUAUAGUGAAAAUUGUUGGUAUCAUUUAGAAAAUCAUAAUUAGCUCAUAAGGUUUAAGAUUGAUUAUGAUCUAUUUGAAGAAUGGUUGUUCAUUAUGUUAUUGUGUUGGGUGAACUAUGUUGGAGUUCGAGUUGGAGUUGAAGAUCAAGAUUAUCAUAAAUGUUCAUGGAGAUUGCAUAUAAUUGUUCUUGGGUUUGAGGUGUAUGUUCGGAUUUCUGGAUGAAUCAAGAGAAAGAGUUUUCAGUUAAGAGAUGGAAAUUAAAUUAGAGAUUCGAAGUUAUAUUUAGCAUAUAAUUGUUGAAUAUUAAGUUCUCAUUUGAUAUUAAGUAUUGUAUUGUUUUG